GAUCCUGGCUCAGGAUGAACGCUGGCGGCGUGCCUAACACAUGCAAGUUGAGCGAUUUACUUCGGUAAAGAGCGGCGGACGGGUGAGUAACGCGUGGGUAACCUACCCUGUACACACGGAUAACAUACCGAAAGGUAUGCUAAUACGGGAUAAUAUAUUUGAGAGGCAUCUCUUGAAUAUCAAAGGUGAGCCAGUACAGGAUGGACCCGCGUCUGAUUAGCUAGUUGGUAAGGUAACGGCUUACCAAGGCGACGAUCAGUAGCCGACCUGAGAGGGUGAUCGGCCACAUUGGAACUGAGACACGGUCCAAACUCCUACGGGAGGCAGCAGUGGGGAAUAUUGCACAAUGGGCGAAAGCCUGAUGCAGCAACGCCGCGUGAGUGAUGAAGGCCUUCGGGUCGUAAAACUCUGUCCUCAAGGAAGAUAAUGACGGUACUUGAGGAGGAAGCCCCGGCUAACUACGUGCCAGCAGCCGCGGUAAUACGUAGGGGGCUAGCGUUAUCCGGAUUUACUGGGCGUAAAGGGUGCGUAGG
rnacentral:rRNA from 1 species